UACGUAGGGAGCAAGCGUUGUCCGGAAUCAUUGGGCGUAAAGCGCGCGUAGGUGGCCUCAUAAGUCCGCUGUGAAAGUCAAAGGCUCAACCUUUGAAAGCCGGUGGAUACUGUGAGGCUAGAGUACGGAAGAGGCGAGUGGAAUUCCUGGUGUAGCAGUGAAAUGCGUAGAUAUCGAGAGGAACACCAGUGGCGAAGGCGAGUCCCUGGACAACACCUGACACUGAGGCACGAAAGCCGGGGGAGCAAACAGG
rnacentral:rRNA from 1 species